GAUGAACGCUGACAGAAUGCUUAACACAUGCAAGUCAACUUGAAUUUGGGUUUUUUAACUUAGGUUUGGGUGGCGGACGGGUGAGUAACGCGUAAAGAACUUGCCUCACAGCUAGGGACAACAUUUGGAAACGAAUGCUAAUACCUGAUAUUAUGAUUUUAAGGCAUCUUAGAAUUAUGAAAGCUAUACGCGCUGUGAGAGAGCUUUGCGUCCCAUUAGCUAGUUGGAGAGGUAACGGCUCACCAAGGCGAUGAUGGGUAGCCGGCCUGAGAGGGUGAACGGCCACAAGGGGACUGAGACACGGCCCUUACUCCUACGGGAGGCAGCAGUGGGGAAUAUUGGACAAUGGACCAAGAGUCUGAUCCAGCAAUUCUGUGUGCACGAUGACGUUUUUCGGAAUGUAAAGUGCUUUCAGUUGGGAAGAAAAAAAUGACGGUACCAACAGAAGAAGUGACGGCUAAAUACGUGCCAGCAGCCGCGGUAAUACGUAUGUCACAAGCGUUAUCCGGAUUUAUUGGGCGUAAAGCGCGUCUAGGUGGUUAUGUAAGUCUGAUGUGAAAAUGCAGGGCUCAACUCUGUAUUGCGUUGGAAAACUGUGUAACUAGAGUACUGGAGAGGUAAGCGGAACUACAAGUGUAGAGGGUGAAAUUCGUAGAUAUUUGUAGGAAUGGACGAUGGGGAAAACCAGCUUACUGGGACAGAUACCGAUGCUGAAGCACGAAAGCAUGGGUAGCAAACAAGGAUAAAAUAACCCAGGUAGUCCAAAGGGGAGUUCCACUCUGUGAAAUAAUGUUGUCGAUAACGGCGAAGGAGAAGGGGGGCGGGGUGCCCGGGCUUUGGAACGAAAAGGGGGUCCUUUCGGGGGGGGGGGCCUUAUCGAUACAUUCUUUUUCCUUUUCUU
rnacentral:rRNA from 1 species